UAGGGAAAAUUGGACAAUGGGCGCAAGCCUGAUCCAGCCAUGCCGCGUGAGUGAAGAAGGACCUCGGGUUGUAAAGCUCUUUUGUCCGGAAAGAAAAGCAUCGGGUUAAUACCCCGGUGUUCUGACGGUACCGGAAGAAUAAGCACCGGCUAACUUCGUGCCAGCAGCCGCGGUAAUACGAAGGGUGCAAGCGUUACUCGGAAUUACUGGGCGUAAAGCGUGCGUAGGUGGUUCGUUAAGUCUGAUGUGAAAGCCCUGGGCUCAACCUGGGAAUGGCAUUGGAAACUGGCGGACUGGAGUGCGGUAGAGGGUAGCGGAAUUCCCGGUGUAGCAGUGAGAUGCGUAGAGAUCGGGAGGAACAUCCGUGGCGAAGGCGGCUACCUGGACCAGCACUGACACUGAGGCACGAAAGCGUGGGGAGCAAACA
rnacentral:rRNA from 1 species